rnacentral:tRNA from 1 species
AAUUAUCUAGUUUAUGAAGAACAGCCGCCUUGAAAGCAGCAGGUAGUGAGAAGAAUCACUGGUAAUUU